AUAACUAAGCCAAAAGGAGGAAUUUCACCAAAUUAAAGGGACACUAUAGUCACCAGAACAACUACAGCUUCUUGAAUUUGUUCUGGUGAGUAGAAUCAUUCCCUUCAGGCUUUUUGCUGUAAACACUGUCUUUUCAGAGAAAAUACAGUGUUUACAUUACAGCCUAGUGAUAACGUCACUGGCCACUCCUCGGAUGGCUGUUAGAGAUCCUUCCUGGGUCAUGGCUGCCUAAAAUGCAUCCAAACAUUCAG